rnacentral:lncRNA from 1 species
CUAGAAUAUUAUUUGUUAUGUAGAAACAAUCAUCCCCGUUUGCCCUCCUGCCUGUGGCUCUGCUAGGUACGCUGGCGCUGCUACCAUCUCAACUAGUACCGCUGGAUUGCUCCUUACGCUUGUCAUAUUUGUUUUUAGAAGUCUCAGAGCCCAAUCCUAACUAUCCAGGAAUAAUAUGGUUAAAUUCAGUUACGAAGAAUCUCCCAGCAGCUUUAGCUAGUGUAAUCACUUUAGUGUUGAUAUUGUUUAAUUAAACUGGAACAUGUUAGCCAAUUUUCAGUAUAUGCAAUUUUUUCUUGCAUAAAAUAUAAACCUUCUCUCACUGUAAUAGGAAUGUGCUAGACAUGCAAACAUUUUCCCAUAAUAUUGCAGCUUUUGAUGAGACCUUGUAACUGAGGACAAAACUUACAAAAAAGACGUAUAUAAAACAAUUAAAAAAUAUAUUAACGAAUCACCAAAGAGUAUAUUUUUGAAUGAGAAAUAACAAACUUAAGCCAAGACUUUAUCAGCCAGCCAUAUUCUGUAACUUUUAACAAAUCGUAUAGAAAUGACCAAGUCGAAUCGUAAGUACCCGAAAUCGGAAUGUUUGAUAUCUAUGUUUUCGUUGUUUUCGUGUUUGAAUUAGCAUUUCGUAACUCACAUCGUAAUCAGUGUAAAUCGAAAACGCCAACUUCUAUUUGACGCGCUCAGGAGGAAGUGUCAACACCGCAAUGCAAAGUAAAAUAAGUAUUCUGUGCGAAGAAUUCGUCAAAAAAAAGAAGAACUUUUGGUUUGUUUUGGUUAAGUUGGACAAAUUCAACACAACAAAGAAUAAAAAAUGGCAAGUGGAACACCAACUGGGAACAAGAACACCAAAAAAAUCAUCUGCUGAGCAUUUAAAUGACGUAGUGUACUUUAUCUCUGAACAUAAAAUAUUAUUGCACGGUAAAAAGGGAGUUUUUUCACUAAGAAAAAUGUUGGCUUACGUUUGAAACACACUAGAGACGUUCAAAUCUACAUAUUCUACCAGUAAAUUAAUUAGAGCAGCAAUUUUUAAAAAUGUUUAAUGAUUUCUAUUAACCAUGAUGCUGUAUAAUUAUUAGUAUAUAAAA